rnacentral:rRNA from 1 species
UACGGAGGGAGCUAGCGUUGUUCGGAAUUACUGGGCGUAAAGCGCACGUAGGCGGCUUUGUAAGUUAGAGGUGAAAGCCCGGGGCUCAACCCCGGAAUUGCCUUUAAGAUUGCAUCGCUUGAAUCCGGGAGAGGUGAGUGGAAUUCCGAGUGUAGAGGUGAAAUUCGUAGAUAUUCGGAAGAACACCAGUGGCGAAGGCGGCUCACUGGACCGGUAUUGACGCUGAGGUGCGAAAGCGUGGGGAGCGAACAGG